AUUGAACGCUGGCGGCAGGCCUAACACAUGCAAGUCGAGCGAGCGGCGCACGGGUGAGUAAUGUAUGGGGACUGCCCGAUAGAGGGGGAUAACUACUGGAAACGGUAGCUAAUACCCCAUACUAUCGGAUAACCCAUAUGUGAUUAGCUAGUAGGUGAGGUAAUGGCUCACCGAGGCGACGAUCCCUAGCUGUUCUGAGAGGAUGAUCAGCAAAACGGGAAAUGAGACACGGCCCAGACUCCUACGGAGGCAGCAGGGGGGAAUAUUGCACAAGGGGCGCAAGCCUGAUGCAGCCAGGCCGCGUGUAUGAAGAAGGCCUUAGGGUUGUAAAGUACUUUCAGUCGGGAGGCGUUACCGACAGAAGAAGCACCGGCUAACUCCGUGCCAGCAGCCGCGGUAAUUC
rnacentral:rRNA from 1 species